UGAACCCUCAGCUCAAGGCCAGCGCUGUUGGCAGGACCAUGAAGCAAGCAGCAAGUCCAAGUGCUGCAGCUAGGUGGCAAUCCAGGAUGAGGCUAAAGAGGAAGGACAGCACGCAGUAUCCAAGAGACACUUCUUUAUUUCUUACAAAAGAUAGCAGUGUUAAAAAUCGGUAUGUGAAAGAUUUACUUGUUAAUAGAAAAGAUGUUUGUCAUUUUAGGCUGCUUUUGAAACCAGAACUGCUUGGGAAAUUUGGCUAAACAGCUCUUCAAUAAAACUGUAAUAUCUCCUGAAGGUGGUGCCCAGUUAACAGCAGAGUGACCAGCAUGAAAACCUUGAGUGGGAAAAAAGAAAACACCUUCUGCAUGGCCAUUAGUCUGUGUCCAGGCACCUCCUGGUGUGAGAAAGGUGCAACUCUGCAUUUAGAGGAAGCAGAGCAAGAACUGCUGCCCGUGUAAAUGACUGCUGGGCUAUUUCUGGAUCUCUUGUUUAGUGCUAAUAAACCCUAAAGCUUUGAAGCUAGGAUUUCACCCAGAUGGGAAGAGGAAAAUAUUUGAACUAUCACAAAUAUUUACAUGGAUGGAAACUGUAGAGCUGUAACUGUAACUGCAGCUCUCCAUUCACCUGCCUUAAAAGGUGCCUUUCCCUUUGCUGUCAAGGGAAGCUUUCUGCAUGUCUCCAAGCAGCUUGUCAAGCACCGGACUACAAGCAGGGAAACCUUACAGCACUGCUGGGACACGUGCAGAUAUUAGUCCUUCAUUUUAUACACAAGCACUUCCAUCAUCAUCCACGGGAUCAGAAGCUGCUCAGCACCUCAGUGCACACAACCGCGGUGGUAAUGUGAAGAAGGAUCUGCACUGUCAAAACACACAUAACAACAUUCCUCAGCGGUGCAUUACUGGAGAAAAACAGACAUGAAAAAGUGUCCUUUCUGGGGUCCCGUGACUUCGAGGAGCAAUACAAAUGGAAAAAAUAAAAUAAAAUCUCAGAGAUUAGUUCCAGCCCUUUCUUGCUGAUUCAGUUUUAUGUGGAAUAAGAAUGGUAAUAUUUCCAAGUUGCCAGAUGUAUUCAAA
rnacentral:lncRNA from 1 species